UACGUAGGGGGGCAAGCGUUGUCCGGAUUUAUUGGGCGUAAAGAGCGUGUAGGCGGCCAGGUAGGUCUGCUGUGAAAAACUCGAGGCUCAACCUCGAGACGUCGGCGGAAACCAUCUGGCUAGAGUCCGGAAGAGGAGAGUGGAAUUCCUGGUGUAGCGGUGAAAAUGCGCAGAUAUCAGGAGGAACACCGAUGGCGAAGGCAGGUCUCUGGGCAUUAACUGACGUGAGGAGCGAAAAGCAUGGGGGAGCAAAACAGG
rnacentral:rRNA from 1 species